CUUUGAAUUGGUUCUGAUGCCUGGAAUCUCCUGGCACUGUCUCUCCAUACAAUGUUAAACCAUUUUAGAGCAGUUUAACACUAAAUAAGGGAUCAAGGCCACCCAUAGUCCGGCCUCUUCUCGAGGUGUGGCCAAGGCAGAGAUUACACACUUCCUUGAAGUCAUAACCUUCAUACCGUUAGUUGGAGCUCUGAUAGGCUAAAAACAGACAGCUGACACUUUCAGCCAAUCAUAGCUGCCCAUUGCUGCUCAUGCUAGUACUUCCUCAUUCGCCGAAGCAGCACAGAGGGGAGGGGCUGCUGGGGACUCUAAUUUAGCAUUAAAACAAAAAAAUAUGAAAAACUGUUUAAUGCUGAAUGAAAUUAUGGAACUUGGAAACUCUGGACACUAUAAUCAGUUUAAUGAAAUGAAG